rnacentral:rRNA from 1 species
UACGGAGGGUGCAAGCGUUAUCCGGAUUCACUGGGUUUAAAGGGUGCGUAGGUGGCUUGUUAAGUCAGGGGUGAAAGUUUUCGGCCCAACCGGAAAAUGGCCUUUGAUACUGGCGAGCUCGAGUGCGUGAGGGGUAACCGGAACGAGCAGUGUAGCGGUGAAAUGCGUAGAUAUUGCUCGGAAGGCCAACGGCGAAGGCAGGUUACUGGUGCGCAACUGACACUGAGGCACGAAAGCGUGGGGAGCAAACAGG